rnacentral:rRNA from 1 species
GUGACUAUAUGUUUAACGGCCGCGGUAUUUUGACCGUGCGAAGGUAGCGCAAUCACUUGUUUUUUAAAUGGAGACCUGUAUGAAUGGCACGACGAGGGCUUAACUGUCUCCUUCCCCAAGUCAAUGAAAUUGAUCUCUCCGUGCAGAAGCGGGGAUAGACCCAUAAGACGAGAAGACCCUAUGGAGCUUUAGACACUAAAACAGCCCAUGUUAAAAACCCUCACAAAAGAGACUAAACUAGAUGGUCCCUGUCCUAAUGUCUUUGGUUGGGGCGACCACGGGGUAACAAAAAACCCCCGCGCGGAACAGAAACACUGUUUCCAGAACCAAGAGCACCCGCUCUAAGUAACAAGACCCACUUGACCUUUGAGAUCCGGCAUUAGCCGAUCAACGGACCGAGUUACCCUAGGGAUAACAGCGCAAUCUUCUUCGAGAGUUCAUAUCGACGAGAAGGUUUACGACCUCGAUGUUGGAUCAGGACAUCCUAAUGGUGCAGCCGCUAUUAAGGGUUCGUUUGUUCAACGAUUAAAGUC